AGGAGGGUGGCAAGAAGAGGAUAAGGGGUAUAGGGGGUGAAGAUGAGGCACUCCUGAGGGAUGGACGCAAGGAGGGAGAGAGUUAUAUUGAAUGAGGAUGAGUAAGUGUCAAGAUUAGGUUGGGUUAGGUCAGGUAAAACAGGUUAGGUUAGGUAAGGAUAGGUCAGGUUAUAUUAGACUAGUUAGGUUAGGUCAGGAAAGGUUAGAUAAGGUUAAAUUUGGUUAGGUUAGGUCAGGAAAGGUUAGAUAAGGUUAAAUUUGGUUAGGUUAGGUCAGGAAAGGUUAGAUAAGGUUAAAUUUGGUUAGGUUAGGUCAGGAAAGGUUAGAUAAGGUUAAAUUUGGUUAGGUUAGGUCAGGAAAGGUUAGAUAAGGUUAAAUUUGGUUAGGUUAGGUCAGGAAAGGUUAGAUAAGGUUAAAUUUGGUUAGGUUAGGUCAGGAAAGGUUAGAUAAGGUUAAAUUAGGUUAGGUAUAGCUGGAUUAGGUUGAGGAGAUGAAAUGAGGUGAGGUUAGGUUAGGUUAGGUUUUAAUUUAUUUUCUUUUUACUGUGGUGUAGGUCGAUUUUGAUCUAUAUGCAUUAGCUAGUUGAUUUAUUACUUUUUUUUAUCUUCAUUGCUGUUUCUUUCAUUCAAUUGUAUAUUUAUUUUUAGCAUUUUUCGUCUGUUUCCUAUUAUCUUGAUGGGACACACACACACACACACACACACACACACACAUACAUACAUACAUACACAAGUAGCCGCUGACUGACUGACGGGUGACGUUCAUGUAUCCAUCCUGUCAAAUACGAGUCUGUGUGGCGAAAUCUUGACAGCUCCGAGGCAUUUGUAGUCGUAGAUUAUAUUGUCCUCACUCUGACCUUUGCUCUCCGUCUUUAUCAGGGUUAGAUUUGCUGGUUUUCCCUCCUUUUUUUUCUUGUCUCUCUUUUUUAUCCUUUUUUCUUGUUCCUUUUCCUUAUUUUGUCUUUUUCUUCUCCAUAUUCCUCUUUCCUAUUGUCUUUCUUUUCCCUCUUGUUUCUUUUCCUUAUUUCGCUGCUUUGUUUAUUUUGUCUUUUUCCUUUCCCUUUUCCUCGUUCCUUUUGUCUCUUUCUUGCCUCGUUCUUGUCCUUUUCCUUGUCAAUCUUGUCCUUGUCUCUUUUCCCUGUUCCUCAUAUAUCUUUUCCUUAUUCCACCACCUUGUUUAUUUUGUCUUUUUCCUUUCCCUUUUCCUCUUUCCUUUUGUCUCUUUCUUGUCUCGUUCUUGUCCUUUUCCUUGUCAAUCUUGUCCUUGUCUCUUUUCCCUGUUCCUCAUAUCUCUUCCUUGUUCCUCUUGUUUCGUUUUUUUUCUCUUUUUCUUGUCCCACUCUUCUUUGUCCCUAUUUUCCUUGUCUUUUCCUUGUUCCUGUUGUCCCUUUUG